rnacentral:lncRNA from 10 species
UUGGUACAGCAGUCUGUAAAGCCAGGACAGCUGACAGCAUCAAUUUGAUGUUUGGCGAACAAUAGGUGGAGAGAAGACAAAGAGUUCUAGUGGCUAAAGUGGAAAUGAGCAAUCAGAAAUGCAGUGGAAUAAGAGAGAAUGCAACGCAGGACAAAUAUGUGAGGACUUGCUUGGAAUGAAAACACAUCUAGGAUUACAGGGAUGGAGGAACAAGGUCUGAGGGAAGGCUCAGCCACAAUAACCACAGGAGGAGACUGCAGCAGGGAGGAGCUGCUGGGGCAUCACAUGUACAUGGUAGUGCAGGGGGCCUCCAAGGAGCCACAUGAGGGGCAGGUGAGCAGGUAAGCUGGGCAGUCCUCCCUCUUCCUCCUGUGCUAAGCAAUCCCAGAGGAUACUUGCCUCAGCCUGAUAGUGGUAC